rnacentral:rRNA from 1 species
CCUACGGGUGACUGCAGUCGAGAAUCAUUCACAAUGGGGGAAACCCUGAUGGUGCGACGCCGCGUGGGGGAAUGAAGGUCUUCGGAUUGUAAACCCCUGUCAUGUGGGAGCAAAUUAAAAAGAAAGUACCACAAGAGGAAGAGACGGCUAACUCUGUGCCAGCAGCCGCGGUAAUACAGAGGUCUCAAGCGUUGUUCGGAAUCACUGGGCGUAAAGCGUGCGUAGGCUGUUUCGUAAGUCGUGUGUGAAAGGCGCGGGCUCAACCCGCGGACGGCACAUGAUACUGCGAGACUAGAGUAAGGGAGGGGGAACCGGAAUUCUCGGUGUAGCAGUGAAAUGCGUAGAUAUCGAGAGGAACACUCGUGGCGAAGGCGGGUUCCUGGACAUUAACUGACGCUGAGGCACGAAGGCCAGGGGAGCGAAAGGGAUUAGAUACCCUGGUAGUC